rnacentral:rRNA from 1 species
GACGGAGGGGGCUAGCGUUGUUCGGAAUUACUGGGCGUAAAGAGCGCGUAGGCGGAUUAGUAAGUUGGGAGUGAAAUCCCGGGGCUUAACCUCGGAAUAGCUUUCAAAACUGCUAGUCUAGAGUGAAGUAGGGGGUGAUGGAAUUCCUAGUGUAGAGGUGAAAUUCUUAGAUAUUAGGAGGAACACCGGUGGCGAAGGCGGUCACCUGGGCUUCAACUGACGCUGAGGCGCGAAAGCGUGGGGAGCAAACAGG